AGACCUGCCAUGUUGUAUGGGGCGGAGUGCUGGCCAGUGAAGAACUCUCAUGUUCAGAGAAUGAAGGUUGCGAAGAUGAGUAUGCUCAGGUGGAUGUGCGGGCUCACCAGGUUAGAUAAGAUUAAGAAUGAAGUUAUUCAGAGAAGGUGGAGGUGGCCCCGGUGGAUGAGAAGAUGCGAGAAGCGAGGCUGAGGUGGUU
rnacentral:lncRNA from 1 species